AGCGAACGCUGGCGGCGUGCCUAACACAUGCAAGUCGAACGUGAAAGGGAGCAAUCCCCAGUAAAGUGGCGUACGGGUGAGUAACACGUAGGUAAUCUACCCCAGAAUCUGGAAUAACCGGCCGAAAGGCUGGCUAAUACUGGAUAGAGCGACGGAAUCCGUAAUUGGGUUUUUCGGGAAAGGGAGCCUGUAAAAAGGCCUUCGUUCUGGGAUGAGCCUGCGUCCCAUCAGCUAGUUGGUGAGGUAAAAGCUUACCAAGGCAAUGACGGGUAGCUGGUCGGAGAGGACGAUCAGCCACACUGGAACUGAAACACGGUCCAGACUCCUACGGGAGGCAGCAGGGGGGAAUCUUGCGCAAUGGACGAAAGUCUGACGCAGCAACGCCGCGUGAGUGAAGAAGGCCUUCGGGUUGGAAAGCUCUGUCGAGUGGGACGAAAAUGCUUGGAGUUCACAGCUCCAGGAACUGACGGUACCACUAAAGGAAGCACCGGCUAACUCCGUG
rnacentral:rRNA from 1 species